UGCAGUCGAGCGGUAACAGGAGUAGCUUGCUACUCGCUGACGAGCGGCGGACGGGUGAGUAACGCGUAGGAAUCUGCCUAAUAGUUGGGGAUAGCCCGGGGAAACCCGGAUUAAUACCGAAUACGCUCUACGGAGGAAAGCAGGGGAUCUUCGGACCUUGCGCUAUUAGAUGAGCCUGCGUGAGAUUAGCUAGUUGGUGAGGUAAUGGCUCACCAAGGCGACGAUCUCUAGCUGGUCUGAGAGGAUGAUCAGCCACACUGGGACUGAGACACGGCCCAGACUCCUACGGGAGGCAGCAGUGGGGAAUAUUGCACAAUGGGCGCAAGCCUGAUGCAGCCAUACCGCGUGUGUGAAGAAGGCCUUAGGGUUGUAAAGCACUUUCAGUAGUGAGGAAAGGGGUGUAGUUAAUACCUGCAUCCUGUGACGUUAGCUACAGAAGAAGCACCGGCUAAUUCCGUGCCAGCAGCCGCGGUAAUACAGAGGGUGCGAGCGUUAAUCGGAAUUACUGGGCGUAAAGCGCGCGUAGGUGGUUUGUUAAGUCGGAUGUGAAAGCCCAGGGCUCAACCUUGGAAUUGCACCCGAUACUGGCAAGCUAGAGUACGGUAGAGGGGUGUGGAAUUUCCUGUGUAGCGGUGAAAUGCGUA
rnacentral:rRNA from 1 species